UCAAACCUAUUUAAAAUGGCGGCAUUUAAUCUUAUUAGAGGAACCUGUUCUUUAAUCGAUAAUCCACGUUAAUUUUCACUUCAAUUAAAAAUUUAUAUACCUCCAUCAUUCAAACUAAUUUAGUAAUAAUAUUUUAAAUAAAAUAUAAAAAGUUAGGUCAAGGUGUAAUUUACAUUAAAGCUAGUAAUGGGUUACAUUAAAAAUAAUUUAAGGAUUAUUUUAUAAAAAUAUUUUUAGAAAAAGGAUUAAAAAGUAAUAAUUAAAAUAAUAUUUCACUAUG
rnacentral:rRNA from 1 species